GGAGAAGAAAACAAAAGUGAUUCCCUUAGUAGUGGCGAGCGAACGGGGACCAGCCCAAACCAGCUUUGUUUCGGCAAAACUGGGGUUGUAGGACCUCGAUAUAGGAAGACAAGAUUAGGAGAACGGUCUGGAAAGGCCGGCCAUAGAACAUGAGAGCUGUGUAUCCGAAAAUCUUCGUUGGACUUAGAGGUAUCCUGAGUAGCGCGGGACACGUGAAAUCCUGUGUGAAUCUGCGGGGCCCAUCCCGUAAGGCUAAAUACUCCCGAGAGACCGAUAGUGAACCAGUACCGUGAGGGAAAGGUGAAAAGAACCUCGAACAGAGGAGUGCAAUAGAUCCUGAACCCGUCUGCCUACAAGCGGUAGGAGCAGCUUUGAGCUGUGACUGCGUGCCUUUUGCAUAAUGAACCUACGAGUUACUUUCUCUGGCAAGGUUAAGUGAUGAAGAGUCACGUGAGCCGAAGCGAAAGCGAGUCUGAAUAGGGCGGAUUAGUCAGAGGGAGUAGACGCGAAACCAAGUGAUCUACCCUUGGUC
rnacentral:rRNA from 1 species